rnacentral:lncRNA from 1 species
UAAGGACAAUAAUUCCAGAGAGUGUAUGGGGCUCUUAUUAAGUCACUCUUGACAUUUCAGUUAUAUCUUCCUAUGAACUAGAGCCAAGAUCUUACUUUGUAGUUACAGGAGCUUUCUUACCUCGAAAAAUUACUGAAGAAUCAUUCACAGGGUUCAUCUCACUGCCUAAACCAUUAGCAUGAUGUGUGGAUAACUAGUCAUUUGCCAUUGCAUUAAUAACUGUGUAAAGUUCUUCAAGUUAAUCAAUGUCAGGAGUAUUGUUUAUAUUAGGCCCAGGACUUUUUAAGGACAGAUUCUACUUAGAAAACUAUUUAUGAAAAUUUCCCGUUCUUUUUACAGGGUUCAUCAUAUUCUGGAAGCAAUCAGUAUGGCGGACAGGGAUCUUAUCCCUCAGGGAGCAGCCAGUAUGGUGGGCCGGGCUCAUAUUCUUCUGGAGGCAGACAACAUGGUAAACCAGGUGGCUCUGGCUCAGGAAGCACUUAUUCUGGAAAACAGUCACCUUCCUCUGGAGGCAGUCAAGUGAGCUCUGCUGGGAAACACUCCACUCCCCAACUCCUGAUGUUAUUCAGUGUUUUGAGUGCCUUUGCUCUCUCUGCUGCCACAUCAAAAUGGUCUAUAUGAACCUCCGAAGAGCUGUUUGACAACCUAAACAUGGAUUAUAUUCCAUAUUAUUAGAUUAAUUACUUAAUGUAAGAAAAAAAAUAUCCUUAAGUCAAAUUGUCAGAUGCUACUUGGCUGUUAUGUUGCAUGUCUAGCUGAUAUGUCAUGCCUUUCAUUAGUUUACCUCUGGUUUUAGUCAUUAGUAGAUAUCAUUAGUUUUGUCAGUGUUUUAGGCAUCAUUUUAAGAGAGCAUAUUGUACCCCACCUGUAUGAUUUAUUUGUAUUUCUGACAGGGAAUGCGAUGAACACCUGCCUGAAAUGACUGGUGUGACAAAUGAACACUUAGAAAGUAUUUGGUUAUUAACCAAAGUGGACGAGGUCAAAUAAAUUGUUAUAGAUGCGAGCUGAGCA